rnacentral:rRNA from 1 species
UUGGAGGGCAAGUCUGGUGCCAGCAGCCGCGGUAAUUCCAGCUCCAAUAGCGUAUAUUAAAGUUGUUGCAGUUAAAAAGCUCGUAGUUGAAUUUCGGAAUCUGUCCGUCGGUCGGGCUUCACUGUCCGUACUGGUGUGAUGGGUUUCUACCUUCUGAAUAAUCGGCAUGUCAUUAAUUUGGUGCGCCGGGGAAGCAGAACUAUUACCUUGAAAAAAUUAGAGUGCUUAAAGCAGGCUAUCGCCUGAAUAGAUUAGCAUGGAAUAAUAAAAUAGGACGGCAUGGUUCUAUUUUGUUGGUUUCUAGGAUCACCGUAAUGAUUAAUAGGGAUAGUUGGGGGCAUUAGUAUUCAAUUGUCAGAGGUGAAAUUCUUGGAUUUAUUGAAGACUAACUACUGCGAAAGCAUUUGCCAAGGAUGUUUUCAUUAAUCAAGAACGAAAGUUAGGGGAUCGAAGACGAUCAGAUACCGUCGUAGUCUUAACCAUAAACUAUGCCGACUAGGGAUCGGACGAUGUUAAUUUUUUAAUGACUCGUUCGGCGCCUUACGGGAAAC